rnacentral:lncRNA from 1 species
AGAGAAUGACCUAUUUCUUCUUUGUAAUAAGUGGCCAUAUUUUGUUUAUCCAUAGAUAAACCAGCACUGUAGCAUACUUCUGGUUUUUGUGACCUCUCCAAAACCUUUGCGCAGGCAUUUCCUGAUUCCUGCAUUCUGCAGAUUUAGAACCAAAAGAGCCUGAAGAGCAGUCAAACUAUCCAGGUACUGUUACUACUAAGAGUCUUCUAAAAGGACUGUCUUGUCCGAGGAGUUGCACAUCAUGAGUGCUGGUUUUACACCCUCACUGCAGUGGAUAUCCCAGAAGGACUGGGGGCAGAGCUAAAUGGAACUGAGGG